rnacentral:rRNA from 1 species
CCUACGGGAGGCUGCAGUGGGGAAUAUUGCGCAAUGGGCGAAAGCCUGACGCAGCGACGCCGCGUGAGGGAUGAAGGUCUUCGGAUCGUAAACCUCUGUCAGCAGGGAAGAACGGUCACUGUGCUAAUCAGCAGUGAAUUGACGGUACCUGCAAAGGAAGCACCGGCUAACUCCGUGCCAGCAGCCGCGGUAAUUCGGAGGGUGCAAGCGUUAAUCGGAUUUAUUGGGCGGAAAGCGAUCGUAGACGGUAUGUCAAGUACAGGGUGAAAUCCCCGCGCUCAACGUGGGAACUGCCUUUGAAACUGGCAAACUGGAGUGUGUGAGAGGAUAGUGGAAUUCCAGGUGUAGGAGUGAAAUCCGUAGAUAUCUGGAGGAACAUCAGUGGCGAAGGCGACUAUCUGGCACAUAACUGACGCUGAGGAGCGAAAGCGUGGGUAGCAAACAGGAUUAGAUACCCCAGUAGUC